rnacentral:rRNA from 1 species
UGUCUUUUUGAUAAUAAUAUAAAGUCUAAUCUGCCCACUGAUUUUAAAUUAAAGGGCUGCAGUAUAUUGACUGUACAAAGGUAGCAUAAUCAUUAGUCAUUUAAUUGAUGACUUGUAUGAAAGAUUGGAUGAAAUAUAAACUGUCUUUUAUUUAAUUAUAAAAUUUAAUUUUUUUAUAAAAAAGUUAAAAUAAUUUAAAAAGACGAGAAGACCCUAUAGAGUUUUAUAUAUAAUUAAAUUGAGAUUAUAUUGAAAAUUAAAUUUAAAAUUUAAUUAUUUAUUUUAUUGGGGUGAUGAAAAAAUAUAAAAAACUUUUUUUUUAUAAAAACAUUUAUAAGUGAUUGAAUGAUUCAAUAAUAUUGAUUAUAAGAAAAAAUUACCUUAGGGAUAACAGCGUAAUUUUUUUUUUUAGUUCAAAUAAAAAAAAAAGUUUGCGACCUCGAUGUUGGAUUAAGAUAAAAUUUAAAUGUAGAAG